GAUGAACGCUGGCGGCGUGCCUAAUACAUGCAAGUCGAGCGAACGGACGAGAAGCUUGCUUCUCUGAUGUUAGCGGCGGACGGGUGAGUAACACGUGGAUAACCUACCUAUAAGACUGGGAUAACUUCGGGAAACCGGAGCUAAUACCGGAUGAUAUUUUGAACCGCAUGGUUCAAAAGUGAAAGACGGUCUUGCUGUCACUUAUAGAUGGAUCCGCGCUGCAUUAGCUAGUUGGUAAGGUAACGGCUUACCAAGGCAACGAUGCAUAGCCGACCUGAGAGGGGGAUCGGCCACACUGGAACUGAGACACGGUCCAGACUCCUACGGGAGGCAGCAGUAGGGAAUCUUCCGCAAUGGGCGAAAGCCUGACGGAGCAACGCCGCGUGAGUGAUGAAGGUCUUCGGAUCGUAAAACGCUGUUAUUAGGGAAGAACAUAUGUGUAAGUAACUGUGCACAUCUUGACGGUACCUAAUCAGAAAGCCACGGCUAACUACGU
rnacentral:rRNA from 1 species